rnacentral:rRNA from 1 species
UGGCGACCGGCGCACGGGUGAGUAACGCGUAUCCAACCUGCCCUUUACUAUGGGACAGCCCGCCGAAAGGCGGAUUAAUACCGUAUGUUGUCAUGUUGAUGCAUAUUUUCAUGACCAAAGGCUUCGGCCGGUAAAGGAUGGGGAUGCGUCUGAUUAGCUUGCCGGCGGGGUAACGGCCCACCGGGGCGACGAUCAGUAGGGGUUCUGAGAGGAAGGUCCCCCACAUUGGAACUGAGACACGGUCCAAACUCCUACGGGAGGCAGCAG